GUUUGAUCCUGGCUCAGAGCGAACGCUGGCGGCAUGCUUAACACAUGCAAGUCGCACGGGCAGUAGCAAUAUUGUCAGUGGCGGACGGGUGAGUAACGCGUAGGAAUCUAUCUUUGGAUGGGGGACAACCGUGGGAAACUACGGCUAAUACCGCAUGAUGCCUGAGGGCCAAAGCUUGAGAGAGCGUCUGAAGAGGAGCCUGCGUCUGAUUAGCUAGUUGGUGGGGUAAAGGCCUACCAAGGCUUCGAUCAGUAGCUGGUCUGAGAGGAUGAUCAGCCACAUUGGGACUGAGACACGGCCCAAACUCCUACGGGAGGCAGCAGUGGGGAAUAUUGGACAAUGGGCGCAAGCCUGAUCCAGCAAUGCCGCGUGGGUGAAGAAGGUUUUCGGAUUGUAAAGCCCUUUUGGCGGGGACGAUGAUGACGGUACCCGCAGAAUAAGCUCCGGCUAACUUCGUGCCAGCAGCCGCGGUAAUACGAAGGGGGCUAGCGUUGCUCGGAAUGACUGGGCGUAAAGGGCGCGUAGGCGGACUGCACAGUCAGGCGUGAAAUUCCUGGGCUUAACCUGGGGACUGCGUCUGAGACGUGUGAUCUAGAGUGAGGAAGAGGGUCGUGGAAUUUCCAGUGUAGAGGUGAAAUUCGUAGAUAUUGGAAAGAACACC
rnacentral:rRNA from 1 species